GACAGAGGGUGCAAACGUGUUCGGAUUUACUGGGCGUAAAGCGCGUGUAGGCGGCUUGGCAAGUUGGAUGUGAAAGCCCACGGCUCAACCGUGGAAGCGCAUCCAAAACUGCUUCGCUCGAGUCUCGGAGAGGAAGGUGGAAUGCUUGGUGUAGAGGUGAAAUUCGUAGAUAUCAAGCAGAACACCUGCGGCGAAGGCGGCCUCUGGACGAUGACUGACGUGAGACGCGAAAGCGUGGGGAGCAAACAGG
rnacentral:rRNA from 1 species